rnacentral:rRNA from 1 species
CAAGUCGCACGAAGAAAGUGGAGCAAUCCAUGAGUAAAGUGGCGCACGGGUGUAGUAACACGUGAAUGAUCUACCUCCGAGUGGGGAAUAACUGAGAGAAAUCUUAGCUAAUACCGCAUAAUACCCACGGGUCAAAGCAGCAAUGCGCUUGGAGAGGAGUUCGCGGCCGAUUAGUUAGUUGGCGGGGUAAUGGCCCACCAAGACGAUGAUCGGUAUCCGGCCUGAGAGGGCGCACGGACACACUGGAGCUGAAACACGGUCCAGACUCCUACGGGAGGCAGCAGUGGGGAAUUUUGCGCAAUGGGGGAAACCCUGACGCAGCAACGCCGCGUGGAGGAUGAAAUCCCUUGGGAUGUAAACUCCUUUCGAUAGGGAAGAUUAUGACGGUACCUAUAGAAGAAGCCCCGGCUAACUUCGUGCCAGCAGCCGCGGUAAUACGAGGGGGGCGAGCGUUGUUCGGAAUUAUUGGGCGUAAAGGGUGCGUAGGCGGCCUGACAAGUCUGAUGUGAAAUCCCUGGGCUCAACCCAGGGCCUGCAUCGGAAACUGUCGGGCUGGAGUAUGGGAGAGGUGAGUGGAAUUUCCGGUGUAGCGGUGAAAUGCGUAGAUAUCGGAAGGAACACCUGUGGCGAAAGCGGCUCACUGGACCAUUACUGACGCUGAGGCACGAAAGCUAGGGGAGCAAACAGGAUUAGAUACCCUGGUAGUCCUAGCCCUAAACGAUGAUUGCUUGAUGUGGCAGGUACCCAAUCCUGCCGUGUCGAAGCUAACGCGAUAAGCAAUCCGCCUGGGGAGUACGGCCGC